UUUUACUUACGGGGGGCAGCAGUGGGGAAUAUUGCACAAUGGGGGAAACCCUGAUGCAGCAACGCCGCGUGAGUGAUGUCGGCCUUCGGGUUGUAAAGCUCUGUCUUCAGGGACGAUAAUGACGGUACCUGAGGAGGAAGCCACGGCUAACUACGUGCCAGCAGCCGCGGUAAUACGUAGGUGGCGAGCGUUGUCCGGAUUUACUGGGCGUAAAGGGAGCGUAGGCGGAUUUUUAAGUGAGAUGUGAAAUACUCGGGCUCAACUUGAGUGCUGCAUUUCAAACUGGAAGUCUAGAGUGCAGGAGG
rnacentral:rRNA from 1 species